UAUGUACAGUAAAACUCACAUAUAUAUAUUUAUAUAUACACACACACAUAUUUUGAUCAUGUUUUUCUCUAUUGCCCACUCUUGUGUUAUCCCAUGUGUGUGUAUAUACAUGUACAUAUAUACAUGUACAUAUAUACAUGUACACAUAGUAUAUUUUGAUUGUUUUUAUUCUGUUACCCACUCUUGUCUUGUCCCAUGUAUAUGUAUAAGUAUAUGUAUAUACACAUAGUAUAUUUUGAUUGUUUUUAUUCUGUUACCCACUCUUGUCCCAUGUAUAUGUAUAAGUAUAUGUAUAUGUAUAUACACAUAGUAUAUUUUGAUUGUGUUUAUUUUGUUACCCACUCUUGUCUUGUCCUGAGGAUCAUUUUUUACUUUGCAUCUUGUCCCUCUUCUGGCCCCCUUUUACUUUUCUUGGUGACCCACUGAACUCCAUCCCUGUUGCUUUCAGGAGUGUGGGUGAAGGAUUAUUCACUGGAACAUAGGCAGCUUGCCAGUAUCCACAUCACUGAAGAAAAUCUCCUUCCCCAGCAGCCAUUGACUCUCGUUUGAGUCCUGGGGAGGGGCAGGCCCCUGGGCUCACUCACACCUCACCACUUUCCCAUUAAUUUCCAGGAACUUUUGGCGUUUGCUUUAUGAUCUGUUUUAUUUAUACAGAUUAAUUGCAUGGCUGUGGGCCUCUUUUUUCCUUUUAAACCCAUAAAGUCUCUAUUAAAUUAUUCUAUGUUUGCAGUUUGAUUGUACAGCGAUCAACACACCCAUGUCAACUUACUGAAAGAAAAUUAAAUGAUUUCCAUAUUUUUAUUUCAUAGGUAUGAAUUUGCCUGCAAACUUAUCUAUAUACAAUGUGUACGAUGUCUCUGGAGGCUAGAAAAGGUCAUUGGAUCCCCUGGAACUGGGGUUACAGUUGGUUGUGAGCCACCCAUGUGGGUGCUGGGAAUCGAACCCUGGUCCUUUGCAAGAGCAGCCAGUGCUCUUAAGCCCUGAGCCGUUUCUCCAGUCCCCUACUGAAACUUUUGAAUAAUGAGAUGUCUACAGUGAGAAACAACUUUUUAGAAGCCUCUUGUUGGAUACAGAAGCAUAGGUUUUGCUUUUAGGGAGACACAAUAGAAUGGCGGAUGCUUGACUGUCAAGGUUAGCAGCGUCUUUUGGGUUAAGGUAAAACUGUGAGGGAGAAGACAGCAUCUAAGCAUUCGGGGAAGCAGAACAAUAAAAUAUUUCUGAUGGUUAAUGAAGACUUUCUCCUUGAUUUUAUAAUGGAUGGUGGUGGGUGUCUGUUAUUUAUAUUCCAAUAGAUACAUUCAAAGGAAUGAUGUAACUGCUGAGCCUUCAAAUGUCAAGAUUUGUUCAAUACGCCAGCAACCCAGCCCUAGCCGCUGUGGAGACUCCGGUAGGGAUGAUUAGAAAUCACUUUUGGAAAGAGGCAAGUGGGUGCUGGAGUUUGUGAAGUUUGCUUUGGGGAGACGUUGCAGAAUCAGAAAUACUGGAGGAAUGUUAUUCUUAGAGUUGGGCGUCUCAAGCCUGGCUUACAUAGAGUCACCGUGUCAGGACCCAAGCCCUGACAGUCACCUGAUGCCUCAGCAGGGCUACCUGGGGAGUUUUCAAAUUUGACGAGGGCUGAGAAGCAGGAGGAAGUCCCUGUGGAGUGCCACCAUGAGUGGAGCUGUUAAUGUAUAGUGCCCACUAGACUUACGUGGUGGUUGGGAGGAGGACUGGGUAACAUAGUGGGAGUGCCAUAAAACUCACAUAUUGUGUGUGCACUUGUGUGGACAUGUGCAUGCGCAUGCAUGUCUGCACAUAUGUGAAAAAGCCAGAGGUUGUCAUAGAGUAUUUUCUUCAGUCAGUUGUCCACCUUACUUUUUGACAAAAGGUUUCUCAUUGAACCUGGAGCUCAGGAAUUGGACUGGAUUGGUUAGUCAGUAAACCCUAAGGGUCCUCCUGUUUUGCCAGCACCAAGAAUAGAGACAUGCGUUGUUAUAUCCAUUUUUUUUAAAUGCAAGUGUUGAUAAUCUAUUGCAGGGCAAGUGGAUAGUGAACUGAGCCACCUUCCUAGCCCUAAAACACAUCUUCUUAUGGAUAAAUUUGGAGAAUUUCAUAUAAUCUAAUGACCACAUCAUAACCAAACUCUAGAACCUUCUCCUGGUGUUCUCCUGGGACAUCAGGUGCUACCCAUUUGCACCUGGGGAUGUCUACUCUGUCCUGACCAGUUUACAAGAAGAGAGUCCUACUGUGUGUUAUCGCCAGAGCCCCCACUUAUUUACACACCCUCCCCAGGCACAGCAGUGCUCUUGGUAUUUCUCUGAAUGUGAGUGUGGUCCUUCUCAUUUCUGAGUGAGCUGACCCAAGAGUCUGCUAAGUCUUCCUUGGGUGAUGGAUGUCUCGGCUAUUUCUCAUGAAAACGCUAUAUGGUUUGGGCAUGAAUAUACUUUUCCUCUUAUCUCGAAGUAGAUACUGAGGGAUGGGAUUGUAGAUCAUAGGUAGCUGUAACUUUCUCUAACUCUAACACAGACCAAAAGCAACUUAAAAAGGGAAGGAUUUAUUUGGCUUACGUGUCUAGGUUAUAUACUCCCAUCAUUGAGGGAGAUCAGAGCAGGAACGCAAAGCAAAAUCCACAGACGAGCACUGCUGACUGGAUCACUCAGAUUCAGGUAUCUUCCUUAAAGAGCUCAGGCCCACCUACCUAGGAAUGGUGCCACCCUCAGUGGGUUGGACGUUCCCACAUGAAACACUAAUCAUCUUCAUGGGCAAGCCCACAGACCCAUCUGACCUAGACAGUUCUUCAAUGGAGGCUUUCUUUUUCAAUGACUCCAGGCUGUGUUACGUUGACAAUUAGUGCUAACUAGGCCAUAUGGGAAAUGCGUUUGACAUUAAAGGGACCGCCAAACUGUUUUGCAAACGGUGGGUCCAUUUGGCAUCCCUUGCUGAUCUAUGUGCCUGCCAACACGUCUUGCCUGCACCCUGGUAUUUUACCGCGUCGGCUUUAGCAUGGGUAUAAUGGCCCCUCGUGGCGGUUUUAAUUUGAAUUUCCCUAAUCACUAAUGGGGUGGACCAGGCCUUAGUGUGGCCAUUUACCAUCUGCACAUCAUCUCUGUAAAAAUGUCUGUUCAAAUCCUUUACAUUUUAAAACAGGCAACUGAUUUGGGCCAUCUUCCUGGGUUUGUGUAUCACAAUCCUAUCAUUUGUAUGAUUUGAAAAUGGGCUUCGUUUUUCGGCCUCUUGUUUAAUAUUCCUCUGCUUUUUACUUUUGAAAACUUUGCAUUCCUCUAUUCUUCUUUGAGAAAAUUGCUUUUAACUGAAGUACCUAGAAGCUGUCUUCUAGAAGUUUUGUAAUUACAGGUCACUUUCAGAUUUGUGAGUCAUGUUUGGUCAUUGUUGUGUGUUUGGCUCGAAAUUUACAAAUUUUGUAUCAAAUGAUGAGUUAUUCCAGUAUUAUCUACGGUAAGACUGUUGUUUUUCUUCUUUUAAAUACUCCUAUGUGGGUAAGUGUUCGUACGUAUGCUAAAUAUACCAUGUAAGUACAUGUAGGCCAGAAGAAGGUGCGAGAUUCCCUGGAACUGGAGUUACGGGUAGUUGCGAGCCACCGUGUGGGUGCUGGGAAUUGAACCCAGGACCUCUGAAAGAGCAGUCAGUGCUCUUAGCCGCUGAGCCAUCUCUCCAGCCCCAGUGGAAGAUUCUUUUUUUUUUUUUUUUUUUUUUUUGGUUCUUUUUUUUUUUCGGAGCUGGGGACCGAACCCAGGGCCUUGCGCUUCCUAGGCAAGCGCUCUACCACUGAGCUAAAUCCCCAACCCUCAGAGGUGGACUUCUAAUCUCAUACUGUCUACCUUGUUUUAUGAGGCACGAUGGUCUCUCCCUUACCUGAGAGCUUACCAGUUAGACUAGGCUAGCCGACUAGCUAGCCCCAGGCUUCCUCUGUCUCCAGUUUCUCAGUGUUAGGAUAACAGGCAUACACUGCCAAGCUGUUUUUUUUUAAUAUAUAUAUAUAUAUAUUUUAAAACCAUGAGUUCUAAAUUGAACUCAGGGCUUGUGCUGGCAAGGCAAGUACUAUACUAACUUGGUUCUGUGUUUGCUUUUGAUGCCUGGGUAAAGUUUGCUCCCUGAAGCCAGGCGAGGCCUCCUCUCCUCACACCCCAUUCCCAUUUGGAAUUCAUUGUUCUUCCAAUGUUUGAUUUGUCUGGUGAAGCCAUCUGGUUUUGGCUCUCCCUCCGCCCUCCCCCGGAAAGCUCUAACAUUGUAAAUAAAAUUUCUGUGAUCAUCCCAGGAUGGUUCAAAGGAUUUAUUUUAUAACUGGUGAACUUUGGUACUUAGUGACUGUUGACAAUUUGUUCUGUGUCAUCUAAAUUGUCAAGUAGAUAGGAAUCAGCUGUUUGAAGUUCCGCUAGCCUUUUCCCCCACCUCCCAGACCUCGGUGACAAGUCCUAUUUCACUCCUGCCAUUUAUAAUCUUCUUUUCUCCUUUUUCUUGGGCAGCUUGGCUGGAGUUGACGGAUCCUGUCUGUCUUUUUAAUAAGAGGCAGCUUCCUUUUUCUAUUGGGUUUUCAUUAUUAUUAUUAUUAUUAUUAUUAUUAUUAUUACUAUUAUUACUAUUAUUUUCUUUUGUCAUGUGUAACUGAUUUCUCUUCAAGUGUUUAUUAUUUUCUUUUCUGGCUCUGUGUUGAAUUUCCUUCCCUUAGUUCUUUCAUAUGUACACGUACAUGGUAUAUUGAACCUUUUCUUUUUAGGUGCAAAUCUCUUCAGUCUCUUGUAGGCACUGUUUUAGCUCUGUCUCUCAGACUUUCCUAUAAUUUUAUUUCUUAUGGUUUAUACUUAUUUUGCUAAUGUCUGCUGUAGCUUGCUUUUGACUCAUAGGUAGGUAGUGCCUGCCUUUUCUACGGAAGUGUUUGAGGGUUCCCGGCCACAUUCCUGUCUAAUUCUGUUUUGCAUAUCUGACAUAGAGUUUACUCGUGCUACAUAGACACCCUCCCAUGGUGCCUUACUGCGUCAUCAACCUUUUUCCAUCUUUGUUUUAGAAAACAGACCCUCCUCAAGUUACCCAGAUUGACCUUGACCUUGUCAUGCAGCCCAGGCAGUCCUCACCUUGCCAUCCCCCUGCCUCAGCCUCCUGAGUAGUCAGGAUCAGAUACCUUUCUGUUGUAAAUGUCUAGUCUUUUCCGUUUCGCUCAGAUAGUACUUUGUUAAAGAAUGUAGAUAAUUCUAAGCAGUUCUUACCUUUUAUGAAAGAAUCUCACAGUGUAGCCAGGCUAUCCUUGAACUCCCAAUUCCUCCUCUUCGGUAUCCUGAGUCCUGGGGUUACAGAUAGAUGCCGCUACCACUGACCUUUCCUGAUUGUUUUAAAAUAGGGUCUAUCUUGCUAAACCCUCACUGUGGUCCUGGUAAGGACACCAUUGCUGUUUCUGGGUGGGAUGCUCUGAGGUGUUGGUGGUGGUGGUGGUGUGUGUGUGUGUGUGUGUGUGUGUGUGUGUGUGUGUUGUCUGCAUCUUCCUUCCAUCACUGAGAGGAGGCUGCCGGCAUUUCCAGCUAUGGCUGUGGAUUUCAAUGUUUCUCCUCAGGAGGCUGUGAGCUUUUGCUGUCAGCUGCUUACACGCCCAGCAUCGCUUUGCAUUCUGGGAGAGCGGAUUCUUUGGUCAAUACGUUUUACGCCCUUCCCUCUGGUUUUACUUAGAAAUUUAUUCGCACUUUAAUAUAAACCCUUCAGUUUCAAAACUUGAUGUAUUAAGUUGGUGUACGGUCCCCACAUUUUCAUUUUAACCACCUGCCAUCUCUGGGCUGUGCCUGGGUUGUGACCUUCUGACCAAGCUCUGCAUCCUAACUGUGUGCCUUUCCUGUCGUUUGGAUAUAGCUUGAACCGCCGUGAUUGUAUAGUGGUUAGUACUCUGCGUUGUGGAUAUAGCUUGGACCGAGAACACUGUAUUCCUGGUUGCGUGUGUUUGAAAUUUUUCUAAGUUAUUCAUUGAACAUCUGAGUAUCUUGCUGCCUGUAUGGUGUGUGCUGUGUGGUGCCUGGGUCUCUUAGAGAACAGAAGAGGGUGUUGGAGCCCCUGGAAUCAGAGCUUAGGGUAGUCGUAAACUUUCAUGCGGGUUCUGGGAAUCAGACCCAGGUCCUCUCUGUGAGAGCAGUGAGUAUAUUCCUAAUUACUGAGCCAUCUCUCCAGCUCCCCCACUUUUAUCUUUUAAAAGACAGGGUUUCUCUGUGUGGCCUCUGCUGUCCUGGAACUUGCUCUAUAGAUGAGGCCGGCCUUGAACUCAGAAAUCCAACUGACUCUGCCACCCAAGUGCUGAGAUUAAAGGCAGGUACCAGCACUGCCCAGCCAGCUUUGUAUUAUUAAUUAAACAUUUUGAUUUUAUGUGUAAUUUUAGCUGCAUGUCUACGUGAUCCACAUGCACGCAGGUGCCCUUCAAGACCAGAAGAAGGUGUCAGGUGUCCCGGAACUGCAGUUUAGUGAGAUGUUCCUGCAGGAUGCUAAGAACCUGACUUGGGUCCUCUGCAAGAGCAGGAAGCACUCUUGACCGCCGCACCAUCUCUAUCCCACGCAUUGGUUUUGAAAUGGAGCUAAACCCAGAGGGUGAAGAUGCUCCACUGGAGGCCACACAGUUGACAGCUGCUGUCUCUAGGACGACAGAACAAUAGAGGAGGUUGUACUCAGAGGCCAAACAAGGAGCAUCCAAGGGAAGGGAGGGGUUUGAGAUUCUGCCGUGUGUGUGUGUGUGUGUGUGUGUGUGUGUGUGUGUGUGUGUGCCCAGAAGCCAGACAGAGCUCCGGCUGUGUCUUCCUCCACCCCAGGUUCCUGUGAGUAGCUGCUGUUGAGCCUCUGCGGAAGGGAACACCCAAGAUGAAGGAGAUACUGUGAGGCAGAACUGUUCAUCUCGCAAUGGUCAGCACAGCUUCUUAGUUAAGCAACGCUAACUUUCAAGGAAAGGGCCGUGUGAGCCUCAGCGGGGUAUCAGGGACAGAUGUUGGAAGGUCUGUUUUGAGUUUGGGAGUCAAGUAGAUAGGAAUCCCUCAGUAGAUAGCUGAUCCCUCAAUGUUUGGGGUCAGCUAGACAUGGCCACGAGGGGAGCUCACAGCGACUCGACACAGUCUUUUCUUUUCUUUUUUUUUUCUUUUUUUUGGAGCUGGGGACUGAACCCAGGGCCUUGUGCUUGCUAGGCAAGUGCUCUACCACUGAGCUAAAUCCCCAACCCCUAACACAGUCUUUAAAAAAAAAAAAGAAGAAAAUAUGUGUAUAGCCCAGCUGAGCAAUUGCUUGUUCAAGCAAACUAGUUUGGGGGCAGUUUCCUGAAGCAACCAGUAAGGCCCUUUCCUAUUUCCAGCUCUAUGUUCUUGGCAGAAAUUUUCUGGAAAGGGCAGUAAAAGUCGUUUUGCUAAAGAUGGCUCUAGGCUUCAGCCUUGCCUGUUGAACCUUGUGGCUACACACGGUCUUGUCUGUCACGGAGAAAUUUCUAGAAAGGGAUGCAGCCUGUAUGUAACACAGACUCCCCACUCUAGUGGUCUCUCUGCUCGGUUUUGUCCUUACACCUGGUAGAGUGUGCUACAGAGAGCUGUUACUAUGGGGACGCCAGAGUGGCUCACUGUGGAGUGUUUGGAGGACAAACUGCUUACCUCUGUGCCAGCACAGAUAUCAGGGAGUCAGCUUCUAGAAAAGGAUUGUUGUAUACCAGGCAUGAUAGCGCGUGCCUUUAAUCUCAGCACUCGGGAUGGGGGGGGGGCAGAGGCGUGCCAAUCUCUGAGUUUGAGCUAGCCUGGUUUACAUAGUGAGUUCCAGGCCAGCCAGUGAGACCCUGUGGGUUUGAUGUCAACACAGUCAGCUCUAUAGAAGCCUGAAGAGGAUGCAUCAUCUUCCGACUGUGUGCACACUGAACAGGCAGCAUCCAGCUGCUAGCAGGUUCCAGGGCCUGCUGUUCUCACCCCAGGCUCUGUGAGGAGGCAGAGGAAGGGACAGCUAAUGCCCUUUUCUGCUUCACGCAUUUCUCUGCUGAGCCAAAGGGUAGCCGUUCCCUCUGCUCAUCGAGUUUCGUUCCCGAUGUGUGCCCUGCCCUUCCUGGGAUUUAGGAAUGGUCACAAGUCGUUCACUUUGCAAUUCUCUUGUUCACAGCAUGGCUCUCCUUACAUGUUUAAGUCCUGGAUUUACUACGAUUCUCCCUUCUGUCUCAGCUCUGGAGUGGGCUUCAUGGUUCCCUGCCUCCUGCUUUGUACUUGGGUGGCCUGGGGGAGGUUGCUACUUCAUAAAUUUUAGGCUCGUUCUGGGCCGCAGGUGGGGCUCGCUUUCCCUCUUGAGGACACUGACGUCAUCUGUACCUUCAGCCUCCACUGCGGCUUCCCGUCACAGCAUCUUAUUUCAUUUCGGGGAGCCAUCCCCCAAAGCAGUCCACAUGGUGAGGUCAGGCUCAGGAGAUGCCGAAGGGAAGUGGAUGGACCUUUUCCACAGCCUGACCACAGUGAAUCAGAGGUUGGCAUCCGAGCCAAUCCCAGCAGAGGAGGCUUGUUUCUUUUGUUGGAGACUUGAAAGACGAUGAGGCCACAUUUUGUGGGGGCCACCAGCGGCAGCGAAGAUGAUUACAUUGUAGCCAGGGCUGCCCGGGCUGUAGCUCUGUUAGCAAAAUGCUCAGCAUGUACAAAACCCUGAGUUCCAUCCCCAGACUCCUAUGAAUAGUACGUGGUGGUGUAUGCUGGUAAUCCUAGCACUAGAGAGGUAGCGAAGAUUAGAAAUUCAAGAUCAUCUUUGGUUACAUAGUGAGUUAGAGACCAGUUUGGCUUAUAUAGAGCCCAAAACAAAACAAAACGCUGUGAGCUGGGGUUGCUUGGAACUUGGAGAGUGGCCUUGUGAAAGGCCUGAUGCAGCCAUACCUGAAGUUACAGCUUUACCCCAAAGCUGUUUACCUAUAAAGACCAAUGAGCUGUGUUUUACCUUUAAGCUAAUACAUUUGCCUCACUGGUGGUUGGAAGAGUUCUGACUGACACAUCACAAGAGGAGCAAGGAACAGUGAGCCAGCCGCAUAAUCUUAUCCCCCCCCCCAUGGUUUUCUCUCUAGUUCAAUUAUGCUCCCAGACAGGGCAUAGUGUCUGAGCUCGAGAUAUGAAGGACUGUUCACUUCCUGUUGGGCUUUAGUACAUUAAAGCCCUGGGUGUCCCUGUCCUAGAUGGUUGGAUCUGGCAGUGAGAGGGUGUCAGGAUGACAUUUGCACCAGCAGGUAACUGGGUCUGGUUUGGGAUCGACACACCCUGCUGGCGUCUCACAGAGAGAUCACGCGAGCAAGCUCAGGGCCUUCCUCAGGGUCUUUCUGCUUCUGUGUUUGGUUCCUGUAUCUCUUGGUUUUGGAAACUGGUGGUGUAUCAUUUGAGACCAGGCAGUGCGUGCCAGCGCUCUUGAAGGGAGCCUGGGCGUUUUAACCAUGCUGAGAAUGGAGCCUGAGGUAAUGUGAAUGUGCCGGUCAGUAAUGAAUGCUGGAUGGAGGGAUGCUGUGCUGUGACACUGACUACUCUGGAAAUUGGAACUGUGCAGGCUGGUAAAGAUGAAAUAGCGGCCAUAGGUCAGACGUUGCCAGUGGGCACGCCAUGCCUGGUCAAGUGCAGGCAGCCUCUGUUUGCUUUUUGAAGAGGAGUGUCAAUGUUUUCAAAUCAGGAGAACUGGCAUACAUUUGGAUUUCUGGUAGCUUUUAGAAAAAUCAGUGACAGAGCUGGUACCUCCGAGGCAUACGGGGGACCUAAAUGGCUUCUGCCAGCUUCAGAGGAAGUCUGUUCUAUCCCCUGCCUCACCCGCCCUCUGCCAAGAGCGCUUUGCUCAUGUGUUAUCUGACACAGAGCAGUCUAGGCCACGAAGCCACCAAAGGGCCGCCUGUCUUCACAGCUCACUGUCCCUGUGUCUCUCCUCGAUGACUGUGUAUGUCUGCACGGGCAUGCUUGUAGAGGUCAGAGGUCAAUGCUUUCCCCAACUGCUAUAUUACUUUUUGAAGCAGGGUCUCUCGCUGAGACCUGGAGCUCACCGACAUGGCCAAACUGACUGGCCAGCGAGUCUCAGCCAUCCUCCUGUCUCUGUUUCCCAGAGUUGGGAGUUAGAGAUGUGCACUCUUCUGCCUGGUUUUAUGUGGGUACCAGGGAUAAGAAUUCAGGUGUUCAUGCUUAGGUGUCAAGCGCUUUACUAACUGAACCAUGUCCCCAUCUCUGCCUGCCUCACACUAAACCCAGUUAGAACCCACUGAUGUGUCUGUGUGUGAGCGAUGGGGCCCCACCAAAGAGGAAGAAAAGGCGAAGUAUCCAAACAAUGCAAACAAUUGUCUGCCAUCCGGACGUGGAUCUUUCCCAUGCUCUCAGAAUGGAGCAAACGGGGCUGCACCCAGACCCCGGGUACCAGACUCCAUGAGUUUCUGUUGAGUUUAGGUCCAAUGACUAAGGGCCCAAGAACUCUCUGGACUAUGUGUAGCCUUACUGGAGAGGAAGCAUCAUUUCCAGGACAUCCCUUUAUCAUUCUUCCUCAGGAUCGAAGCACCAGGUCCUGGCUUGGAGACGGAAUGGCACCAUCUCCUCUUAUCUACUCAGCUCUGACCCUGUUCGAGAACAGCUAGCCCAUAGGUGGUCACAUCCUGUGCAAUAGCAUGAUCGUAGACACUGAGCUCACAUACCUCUGACGUCAGGGACCAGUGUGCAGAGUUCUCGGCUUUCUCAAGCGGUGAGCAUCUUGUUCCCCGUGCAGAUGUGUGCCCAGGAUCUGGGUAUCAGGGUUUUUCAACCUCUGCUCCUUUGCGGCUCUGUUUUCUUGAAGCUUGAUAGAGUCUUUAUAGAGUGUGCGUGGCUCAGAGGCAUGCAUCUAUUGGGACGUGAUUCUUGCAACUCGCAGCCCCAUCGCUUUGUCAUUAUUCUAAAACUUUGAUUUUACUUGACAAGGAAAAAUAAUCACUUAUUCCUUUUUUAAAAAUUUAAAAAGGUUUGUUUUCCUUUUUAAUUAUGUGUAUGUGUUAGAUAUGCACGUGAGAGUGCAGUUACCAUGGAAGCCAGAGCUAUCAGAUACUCUGGAAUUGGAGACACACAUACACACACACACACACACACACACACAUACACACAUAUAUAUACAUAUUUAUAUGCAUAUUAACACAUAUACAUAGAUACACACACUCAUAACCAUAUUCACAUGUACACAUACAUGUAUACACACACCAUUUAUACCACACACAUAAACACACACCUGCUGUGGUUGCUAGGAGCAACCCCAGGUCCUCGUCAAGAGCAUGAAGUGGUCUUAAUCACUGAGACAUCUCUCCAGCCCUGUAAAAAUAAUUUUGCAUACAGCUUAGGGGCCACUGGUUUCACAUAUGUAUUUAAGCCGAGUAGUAGAAUCAGGCUGAUGUGUUUCUCCGCAUACAUUUAUCAAUUUGUGUGGUAAACACGACAUGAAAAUCUGUGUUCUCAGCAAAUUUCUAGUGGUGGUGGUGGGGCAGCAUUGUUAACUGCCUCAUAGGGGCUAAUUAGGCCCCCAGAAUUCUUUCAUCAGAAAAAAGAAAGUUCUUGGACGGAGAACUGACUCCUGUCCUCGGCAAGUUCCCAGAGUUGGGAAAUGGCUCGUAAGAGGCAGAACAUGCCAAGUUCUUAUGCAUGUGCCGGAGCUUACAAGGUAAUGACGGGAGGGAAGGUGGAGACCAGAGUCUGGGAAGAUAUGGGCUUUCCACAAGAUCAGAGCCCUUGAUAUUUUUAUCAUGGAAGAAGUGCUCCCUAGGCCCCGCCCUCUCUGAGGGAGCCUUGAUAAUUGGUGGCUGGGAGAGGGGUGUGGCUUUCUUCAGUGCUGUAGCCACUAGCCCGCUGGCUGUGCCCCAGUGAGUUCCCUUUCAGAAUCUACUCUCUCAUUAACAGCCCAGCCAAGAAUAUGGACCUUUUGAAAAUUGUGUGGAAAGCAUUGUGAAGUCAGGCGAUUGAAAGUUACUUCUGAGGGAUACUGCCCCUGCGGUUCACCUGCAUACUCAGCCUCUUUGCAAAGGAGGCUCUGAGGCUAAGCGGUGAAGGUUCUCAGUGGGAUGGCCCCUCUUUCCGGUGCAGGUUCAGGCUGGUUCAGGGUCUGACCCUUGAAGUGAUUCUGCAGAGAGCAGGGAUCUGGAGACCCUCGUUGCUGAGUUCUUUGAUGCUUCUGACAAAUCGGCUUAGGUCCCCAUUGUUUGUGUUUGUAAUAACACAGACGGCGGCAGGCUGGCUCUCUUUAACCGCCUGUGUUCCUGCCCCCAUCUGUGUACAGUAAAUCAGCAAAAUGGUAUGAUCAGGACCCUCAUCACAGCCCUCUCCCUCCUGGCGAGCCAUUGUCCCCUCCAUUUUGUUAAUUACGAUGAGAGUAACACAUCUGCUCUGCUCCAGGCUUCCUCACCCAUCAGGUCUCAGAUGUGAGUGGACAGAGAUCCAAAGAUAGUCUAAGCUGUGCAUGGCUGAUGUAGUGAGUAGAAACCUCUCUCUGCUGUGGGGAUUGGAGCACACGUGUUUCCUGGCAUCCUUCUUUUGUACAGGCAGGACACAGGACUCAUUUUUUUUUUCUUUUUAAAGAUUUUUCUCCCUUUGCUUGCUUGUUUGUUUAUGACUGCCUGCAUAUAUGUAUAGGCAGCGUGUGUGUGUGUGUGUGUGUGUGUGUGUGUGUGUGUGUGCAGUACCCAAGGAUGCCAGAAGAGGGCAUUAGAGAGUACAGCCUCCCAGAACUGAAAUGACAGGCGGUUUCGAGCUGCCAUGUGGGUGCUGGGAACUGAAGCUGAAUCCUCUGCAAGAGAAGCCAGUGCUCUUUUUUUUUUUUUUUUUUGGUUCUUUUUUUCGGAGCUGGGGACCGAACCCAGGGCCUUGCGCUUCCUAGGCAAGCGCUCUACCACUGAGCUAAAUCCCCAACCCCGAAGCCAGUGCUCUUAACCGCUAAGCUACCUUUCCUGUCCCUUGCUUAGGUAUUUCAAGAGGUUGGGAUUUGAGGGUUUACCUGGGAUAGCUGCCCAUUCUAACCACAGGAACAUCCAUGCCUUGCCACAGAACAUUUGAUCUCUGAUUUUUCAGAGAAAGAUACUUGUGUCCCUCUCGCCCUUUAUCUGUUUAGAAUGAAGUGUAAGCAGCAGGCCUCCCAAGCUCUUGUUCAGCUCCAAUGCACCCAAGCCAGGCAAAGAACAUCUUGUAUUAAUGAUUUUGUAGACAUGGUGGUGAUUACCUUAGCUUUUCAAGCAGGGACUUCCCAUACCCUCCUUGCCUUUUAAUCUGGAGCCUUUGGUUUUGGGUCACGCUUCAUGGAGGGGUAGGUAUUUGGGAAUAGGGUGCUGAGGAAUGCUCAAGGACUGUUUGGGAAAAUACCGCACCUCUGGCUUUUUUGAUGGGUAUGCGCCACAAAAAACAAGCUUGUAGAAAAGUGGCACAUAUAGUAUUUAUCAUCCUCCCGCUCCUCUUCCUCCUCCUCUUCCUCCUCCCCUUCCCCCUCCUCCCUUCUUCCUCCUUCCCCCCUUCCCCCUCUUCCCCCUCUUCCCCCUCUUUCCCCUCUUCCCCCUCUCCCCCCUCUUCUUUCUUCUCCUCCCUGGAAGAAAAGAAGCAAGACUGGUCUGUCUGAAGCUAUUACAGUGAAUUGGUCCCAGCUGAAGAAAAGUGCUGCCUAUCUGUUUUGGUGGGGAUCCAGCCAGUUGGGUUCUGUAUGGAACCAUGUGGUGGUAGAUGGUCAUUUCCAUUUAUAAUCAGGAAGGUUGCCUGAUCAGAAAGUUUACCUCACAGUGGUGAAAAUGCCUGUGGUUUCCCAGUUCCUGUUCAAACUGGAUUCACUCUUCCAGAUCUUUGAACAUCUCCUAUAGAGAAAUAGAAUGGGAGACCAGCAUUACUGGGACUUUGGUGUUGAUCUCCUAACAACUCCAUCGUGAGGUUUGCUCCUGCGUGUAGCUGGUGAGACCUGCAUAGAAGAUACAGAUGGAGGAAGGGCUAAAGAUACACAUGAUUUCCAAAGUGGCAUUGAGUAUGUCUCAGGAGGAGAUCUUAGUGCAUCUGUGCAGGUGUAGACCCUUGUGACUCAACAUUAUCUCUGUCACUAGGCAGGUGACAUCUGUUGUCACCAGGUCAGUCCAGAUACCAAGCCUCAGUUUGGAGCAGAUGCCAGGGUCAAGAGUUUUAUUCCCCAACAUGGCUGCUGCCUUUCAGCAGUGAGUAGAGUCUGCUGCCUGACCCCUAUGUUUCUGAUUGUAUUCUAGACUUGUAUAUUGGGGACUUCAUUCUUGGGAGCACAUUUGGGUUUGAUAACUUCCUAAAUGACUCCUUGACCUCCGGAGAGUCAGGUUGUAUGUGUCACCACAGUUCAGAGGCAAAGUUUGAAGCUUGGGAACACCCAAAUGAAAGAGACAGGUAGCCCAAGGUCUUAUGGUAGAAAGUGGGUGCAGCACUUCAAGUAAUACCCAGGGAUUCAUUCUAUGCUCACAGCAGUGCCACGCUAGAGGACAUGUACAUUAGAAAUGUCCUCUCCCCUACUAAAACCAGAAGAAGUCAAGGGGCUGGAAAGAUGGCUCAGCAGUUAAGAGCACUUGUUGCUCUUCCAGAGGACCCAGGUUCUGGUCCUAGCACCCAGAUAGUAGCUUACAACCCCACCUAUAAUUCCACUUCUGGGAGAUUUGACACCCUCUUCUGACCGCUGAGGCCAUGCACACAUGCAUGGGUCACACAUGUGGCCCGCGUGCGCACACACACACACACACACACACACACACACACACACACACACACAAGAUGAAACCUUAAAAACAUUUAACUACCACAUGGCAUCGCCAAGGAAGUGGUCGUAAGGGUGAAACCAGCCAAUCUGAACCCCAGAGAUUGGUAAGUGGGGCUCAGUUUUGUGGAUAUGUGUGACUGGUAUAUAUCUUUCUAUUACAUGUCUUGUCCUUCAUCAGACAGCUAACUGUCUUUUGACCUCUGCCACAUGAUAUCCAGAGUCUAGGGUUCAGGAUAGGGUUAUGGGAACCGCUAAGCCCAGAGAUGCUGGAUAGAGGGACCCUGGGCGAUUAGCUCAGUCUUGGGCUUUUGGACUUUCUUACUGGAUCUCUCUUGAGUCUCUCUGGCAAGUGCAGACCUGGAGGUAUGGGGUCACGGUCACCCAGAUAUCUGCUGGCAUCUGACCCAGGAAGGUUUGAUCCUUCUUUGUGGCUUCCGGGCUAGGGUGGCCUUUAAUUGCGCUUGGAGCUAUGCUCACAUAGGCAGGACUAAGUCAUCAGAAGUAGAUGUGAACUUUUAUGAACGCUCAAACCUGAAGUCACUAUCGGCUUCAAAAACAAGUUUGCUUUAAGCAGACAGUUGGAGACCCUUUUUCUGACGUGUGCACGGAGCUGUGUGAAUGGUCACAGGUAGAUAGACCCUUCCCACCACCUGCCCAAAGCCCUUGGCCCCUUUACACAGUCCUAUCUUACAGUGGCUCACCACCACAGCUUACCUGUCCCCUAGAAACACAUAUUUGUUUUUAAUUUUUUAAGCUUUUCCCAGCUUUGCGGUAGUCUAAAUACUGUAUCAUACCAUCUGUUUAGAUGCAGUUAGCCCAAUGGCUCAAAAUAUUCAAGCACUGUAGAAAGGCCAUUGUGAAAGGGCUGGCUCACGUAUGGAUUACCCGCUACGUUCUCCCUUCUUUGCCUUCUAUUUUUCAUGAUGAACAUUAUGAAGGCUGACUCUUCAAAAACAUCUAGAAUAGAAUCUGAUAUCAUAAACCGUGGUCCCCAGCAUGCACAUGCGACUCUGGGAAAUAAGUGAUCCUGUUACUGAGCUGUUGACCCUUUGGAUCAGAAUCACCCAAUUCUCCCAUCCACCAGUUGCUGGCGGAUAGUGUUAGACUUGUGUGAUGAUGGAGGGGAAGAGCUAGAAGUCUGACCUGUCAUGGGGAAGUUAUAAGCCAACUGACAAUGGCAGAUUCGGUGCUGUCUUUCCACAGGAAGGCAAGUGUUCCUUUGGUCUCCUCAGAAGAAUUUAUUUCUCAUCUGGGACCUAUGAGUUGACUUUUCUGUAGCCUGGAUGCUCUUCCAGCCAUGACUCACAACUGUCCUUUCCUGUUUUGGUCAGUCAGAGACACAGCAUUGCCCUAGAGUGUUCACAUCUUCUUAGUAACAAAUCAUGUAAGACCAAUCUGAAGGUCUGGGAUUCUCACUCCCACCUAAGCUACAAUGAUGGCGACCUUCAUGUGACAGUUCACAAUAGACUGACAAGUCCGGCACCAUUCACUCAUCCAUAUUUCUCUGUGGUUCUCUGAAUGCACUGGGAAUGAAGCACCAGUCCUCCCAGCUUAGCUCCAUCACCCUGCGUGUUUUGCAGCUGACAAACAAGCUGUUUUAUCUCUUCCAUCUAAGCUCAUCUCUGUGUGUGGAGCUGAGGUUGGUCUGCCUCCCCAUGUGUCUUCAAUAUACUAAAGUGGAGUGGUUUUAUUUUAAACAGCCAGAGUGUCUUUGAAUCACAGACUCCGUUCCUCACUUGAGUCCCUUUGAUGGAAUUCAGAUAAAUGGCUUUGUGCUGGAAUAUCCUCCAUUAGAUUUAUUUCUAAAGACUCUUAGGGAUGCUUUAGCAUGCUGCUCCUGAGCUGGGAAAAGAGAGACGUAGCAGAUCAGCCCUGCCUCAUGAUCCUCCCCAGGGGUGUGGUGUGGCUGCCGUGAGCUGGUCUGAGCCUGUUGGGAAUGGAGAGUUCAGAGGUCGGAGUUGAAUAGGUUGGCCCAGAAGCUGGAGGGUGGGAAAGCAGUUGGGUGUUGAGUAGACAAGUGUAUGGGCCAUUAUUAACCCAUGUGCAACCCAUGGAGGAGUCACAAGCUCUUGGUUCCCAUCAGAUCUUUGGGCCUGGGAGUAACCCGAAGGUCUCUAGCAAGGGUGAUGAAUGGGUGUGAAUUUCCCACCUGGUUUGGGGUUUGAAAUUGAGAGAUGGGAGCUUGACCUUGCUGUGACAUGUCUAGUAGGCCAGCCUUGUAAAAACAUUGGAACAGGGGAAGCUAUUGUAGGUUGAUCCUGCUAGAAUGGACAAAACCUUGUCAGUGUGUACUUGUCUUAGUUCGGGUUUUUAUUGCUGUGACAAACGCCAUGGCCAAAAAAGUAAGUUGGUGGAGGAAAAGGGUGUAUUCAGCUUAUACUUCCACAUGUUGGUGUUGUUCAUCACCAAAGGAAGUCAGGACAAGAGCUCAAACGUGAUUGGUGCCUGGAGGCAGGAACUGAUGAUGCAGAGGCCGUGGAGGGUGCUGCUUACUGACUUGCUUCCCCUGUCUUGCCUGGGCUGCUUUCUCAUAGAACCCAGGACCACCAGCCCAGGGAUGGCACCACCUGCAAUGGGCUGGGCCCUCCCUCACUGAUCACUAAUUGGGAAAAUGUCUUAUAGCUGGAUCUCGUGGAGGCAUUUCCUCAACAGAGGCUCCUUCUCUACAUGACGCUAGCUUGUGUCAAGUUGACACAAAAAAAACCAGUUGAUGCGAUAACUCUUUCAAAAAUUAAGGUAUUCAGAAAGUUGUUUAAAUGGUUAAGAUAUAACAUUGGAGGAAAGUUAGUAUGUUUUCUGCUUUCCCUGUUGUUGUGAACGAAUAUCUGAGAAAAGCAACUUAAGGGAGGAAGAAUUGAAUUGGGCUCACAGUUUGAAAGGGUACAGUCCACCAUGCUGGGGAAGGAGUGGCAUCAGGAGUGUUACAUUGUAUCCACAGUCCCGAAGCAAGGAAAGCAGAUACUGGUGCUCAGCUUACUUUCUCCUUUUUAUCCCACCCAGGACCCUAGUGCAUGGAUGGUGGUGCUUACAUUGAGGGUGGGUCUUCCAUCCACAGUUAACCCUUUCUGUAAACACCUUCACAGACAAACUCAGGGCUGUGUGUCCAUGGUGACUAGGAAUUCAAUCAAGGUGACAAUGAAGAGGAGCCAUCGUAUCCAGAUGAGGGAGCCUCUGAGAUGAAGUAGAUGGAUAAGGUUAUGUAUUGAAGUAUUUAUUUAUAUGCACACAUAUAUACAUAUGUAUACAUUUGAGAAGUCAUUAUUCAGAGGAUACAGAAAAAUCUUCCUUUUUCUUUUAAUAAUGCAGUGGUCUCUGAGGUUGAAUCUUCUACAGGGCAGUAAUGGCUUUUCCCUCAGUGGACCAAAGUCACUUACAACUUCUCAGUCUUCUGAAGGUGCCAUCUAAACAGAGCUAGGGAGAAGGAGAGCCUUCUCUGCAGCCUCCCAUUGUGUUUGGCUGGCCAUGGUGAACUUGGCUGCCUGACCCAAAAGGUCAGGACAACUGCCAUGUUUUCUGCUCACAGUUGGGCAUGGGCUAUCUCGUAGUUGGCGUGUUGAAUGCCUACAGAAGCAAUUGGAACAUUCCCCAAAGAGAUGGCAAUGGAUGGGCAGGCAGAGAGGGGCCAUAUGCUUUAGGGAAUGUGUGCUCUGUUCAAGAGCAGAUGCUAUUUGAUGCCAAGCAUUUGUCCACAGGUGGAGUGGGAAAUAUUGUGUUUCUAGAACCUCAGGUUUUCUCAGAGAAAGAUAAUAUUAUGUAAAAUUCCCCAAUACUUAAAAUAUGGGCAAUUGAUUCAUUGUAAGGAGACAGUACUGUCUUAGUGUGCUUGUAAGCUGGGUGACUUAUAGUUGGCAACGCUCACAGUGCCGGAAGCUAGAUAGUCAAGACCACUGUAAAGCAGGUCUAGUGACCAAUAAGAUCUAGUGACCAAUAAGAUCUGGCUCACUAAUGGUGGAACUGGACUGUAACCUCCCAUAGUGAUGGAGGUGAUAUGGUUUCUAGCAUUCUUUUUUUUUUUUUUUUUUUUCGGAGCUGGGGACUGAACCCAGGGCCUUGGGCUUGGUAGGCAAGCGCUCUACCACUGAGCUAAAUCCCCAACCCCUCUAGCAUUCUUUUAUCAAAACACUAUUAAGGUUUGAAUGUGAAAUGUCCCCCAGGGGCUUAUGUUUGAACUCUUAGUCCCUAUUUGGUGAUGUUGUUUUGGGAAGCUGUGGGACAUUUACGAGGUGGAGUUCUGUUGGAAAAAGUGGGUCACCGAGGGGCAGGUCUUAAAGGUUUUAGCCUGUCCUUGGUUCAGGGCCAGGAGGUAGAAACACUUUUGCCUUUUAAAAUGAUGUGCAUAGUGUGUGUGUGUGUGUGUGUGUGUGUGUGUGUGUGUGUGUGUGCAUGUGCACAUGAGUGCAUUGCCAAUGGAGACCAGAAGAGGGCGUCAGAUUUCCCAGAUGGUUGUCUAAUGGGGAGAUGCUGGAAACAGAACUUGGGUCUUUGAAGGCAAGUUAUAAUGCUUUUAACCAGUGAAUCACCUUUCCAGCUCUGUAAACCAGGAAGUUUCUGAAGCUGGGACUUUGCCUAUGUUAGGCAAACAGGAUAACCACGACACUACGAAAACACACUCCUUUUUUUUUUUUUAAGGCUUAAAAGUUCAAAAUAUGAUUAUGAUUUCUUUUUAUGAAAGGAGAAUUAUAUGUGCUUUCACUUUUAAGGUCCAGACACAGAGUCUGAACCAAAGCCUAAAGCAGAGCCAACUGUAUCCCCUGAGGUGUUGGGCUACUUUUCACUGAAGCAGAAGAGUUGAGUGACUGGGACAGAGACCAGGGGGCUUUCAAAGCCUGGUUUAUUUAUGCUUUCCCUAAAUGUUUGACUGGGAUAUGAAUGUCUUUUUGGAGUUUUGCAGUGCAUAAAACACCAGGAAAAGAAGUGGUACUACAGAUGUGUGUGUGUGAGGUCUGACAUACACACACACACACACACACACACACACACACACACACACACACACACCAUGUUUGUGGAAUUGUUGGCAGUCAGCUGUGACUAAUUUUUUUACUGUUACAAAUAAGGCUUCUGUCACCAUUGUCAGUCCCUCACACAGCCAUUCGAUGUGACUAAAGUCACAAUUAUCUCCCACAGAGAGCAGUGUUAAUGCUGCCAUGUGUGCAAUUUAAUGAACAAUGUGGCGACUUGUGGUAAAUGAACAAUUUUUCAAUUUAGUGUUUAUGAUGGCUGCCGGAGAGAAGAAAUUCUGUUUUUACUGGUUUAAAAAAAAAGUUAAUAAUGAGUCAGGAGGUUUUGAAAUUCUAAACGUGAAAAGCAAGUCAACUAAUUUUCAAACAAUCAAACUAUUCGACAUGGGGUAAAGCUUUUCCUGGGCUCGGAUUAGGGACGAGUGCAAAUCUACCCUGCCUCACGUUCCACAAGUUUCCUGUGCUCAGUUUUGUCUCCGUGUGCAGCUGGGUUCAGUAUUUGGCCAGGAACUUUCUAUCAUGUUCUCAGAAAGGUCGUUUCUCCUUCAAGGCCAAGGUUAGCCCUAGUGUCUCAAUACUUUCUCCCCCAGGUGGGUGGGUGUCCAUUAUUUCUAGGGAGGUGACCUUUCUUCUGUGGAAUCUGCUAGAACGAAUAGAAAUAAAUGUCAAAGCAGAGGAUGGCCCAGUAGUUAGAGCUCAUCUAGCACGUGCAGAAACCUAGGUUUGAUUCCUAGCACUUCAAAAACUGGGGAUAGUGUGUGUCUGUAACCCAGAACUCAGGUGGUGGAAACUUUAGGAUCAGGAGUUCAAGGUCAUCCCUGUCUACACAGUGAGUUUGAGGUCAGCCUGGGCUACAGAAGACCCUGUCUCAAAACAAACAAACAAACCACAAACAACGACAACAGCAGCCACAGCAGCAGCAGCAGCAGCAGCAGCAGCAGCAGCAGCAGCAGCAGCAGCAACAACAACAAUAAUAGUAACAUAAAACCAACUCACAGCAGCCAUUCCUGAUAAAAUUAUGUUUUAAAGGAAUCUACCCCUUGCUUUGGUGGCAAGCGCCUUAAUCCAAGCACUUAGGAGGCAGAGGUAGGCAGAACUCUGAGUUCAAGGCUGGCCCAGUCUAUAGAAUAAGUACCAGGCCAGCCAGGGCUACACAGCAAAACCUUGUCUAGAAAAACAAACAAUCUACGCAGGGGCCACUGAGAGGUAAGGGUGUUUGCCACCAAACCUCAUGGCAUAUGGAUUUUAUCUCUUGAACCCACACAAUGAAAGGAAAACUGAAUCCUGAAAGUUAUCCUCUGACUCCAAUACCAUGACUCCCACAUAUAAAAUAGACCACUGUAAAGAACUUUUUUAAAGUCUCAUUUAGCUGUGUUUUGUAUCGUGAUCUCUAAGGGCAGAUAAUGCAGAUGGAUGACAAUGACUUCAGGAUGCCAUCAGCCCCUUGCUGCCUCAGCCAUCCUGUCAGGGGCAUCAGUAUGGUCUCCUUACAAGCCAGUCCUACAAGAGCCUUUGAGAUGAUCCCAACGCCUCAGCCUGAAGAAACUCAGACCUACAUCUGGCUAAACUCUCAUUCACAGACAUUCAUUUCCAGCCUGCAGUUCCUUAUUCCGUUCUGUGGAGUGAUUUAGGAAACUUUAUGUUUCCCGUGGGCACCAUGUUUAUAGAAAAUCCUUUUCAUACCCAAACCCCUCCAAAGGCAUGAACUCAAAAUUGUUGUAGUAAAUAUUUAAAUCUCUGCCUGAGGUUUCUACCCCACCUUUGACCCUUUAGUUCCCACCUUUAUAUUUAUAAUAAGCCACGAACAAAUUGUUGAGGCUUGGUCUAUUGCUGUGCAUUGUAAUGCUAAAUUCUAUACCUGAAGGUCUAGGCCUACGAGGGACUUCUCAUGUUUAUAAGCUUUUGCUGUGCAAACCUUGCUCCUCAAUUUAAAACUAUUGGUUAAAUAAAAUUGGCUACUGGAGGGAUUACAGGUAGGUGGGUUUGGAACGGCCUGGUUAGGGAAGGAGAGACAAUGGGAAAAGGAGGAGGAGGAGGAGGGAGGAGUAAAAGAAGGAGGAGGAAGAGGGAGGAGGAGGAAGAGGGAGGAGGGAGAGGAGGAGUAAAAGGAGGAGGAGUACAAGAGGAGGGGAAGGAGGAUGAGGAGGAGGACAGAAAAAAGAAGCUGCCAUGAGGGGAGAGGAAUCAUAAACACAUGGCCAGAAGAAACAGCAAAUAUUUGGGGUACACCACUGGGGAGGUAGUCAGGCCUGCAGUUAAAAGAGUAGAUUAGGGGUGACCCCCUCAAUAAUUGUCAAAGCCAAAUAAAAUAACCAGAGUCUAAGUCUCAUUUAUUUGUAAGCUAGUCGGGGAUAAACUUAAAUUGUUUGUACUACUCCAAAUCAAUAUGCCCCUACAAGAACAGGGUCCUAUUGUGGUCCUAGCCCCUGCAGUGAAGGCUACAUUUCCACAAAUCUCAGUGUUGAUUAUGCCCGAUGUAGUAAUGACGUUCCCUUGGCUGUUUCAUGGCAAAAAUUCACUUUUAGUCAGAAAGAUUUAUUUUGGCUCACGGUCUCAGAGGCUUUUGAGGGGGUUUCUGUCCAGCAUGGUGGGAACAGCGGGGGGUGGGGCGUCUACUCCCAGAUAGCGGAAGUGAGUGGAGUUCACUUCCGGACUGUAGAGAAAUAGAGAGGGCGGGUCAGAUCCCAGACUUCACUGGCCCGCCUCCAUCGACCUGCUCCUUCCAAUCUGGCCACACCAGAGCUCUCUACGGUCUCUACACUAGCAUCACAAGAGGACCAAGUACUCCAAGCAUGUCUCUGUGUGGUCAGACCGGAUUGAAGCUGCAGCAGCACCUCUUUCUGUUCCUCCUAUAUCCCUUCCAGUGUCCUGUCUUUGCUUGGUGGCACGGGGAUGGUUUCAUGCAUAUUUCUUGGACAGCAAAGAGGCAGGGAAUCUGAGAAUGGCCGUCCUGUGCUGCAGCCCAUUCAUUUGGACAGAGACUCGGGUGUGGGCCUGUGAAAUAAAUCGUCCGCACGUACAGUCUGGGAUAAAAAUAUUAGCAACAAAUCAAAAAUGCCAGGAGCUUUGCAUUUGGUGGGGGGAACUGCACUCUGAGUGAGGUCCCGGCAAGAGUGGGAAUCGAUCCACCAACCCCUGGUCAAUCCUGAAUGCUUCUAUUUGAAGAAUUUGCCUCAUUGAAGAGUAUCAAAUAAAAGUGCAAUGUCCCCCA